rnacentral:rRNA from 2 species
UACGUAGGGUGCAAGCGUUAAUCGGAAUUACUGGGCGUAAAGCGUGCGCAGGCGGUUUUGUAAGUCUGUCGUGAAAUCCCCGGGCUCAACCUGGGAAUGGCGAUGGAGACUGCAAGGCUAGAAUCUGGCAGAGGGGGGUAGAAUUCCACGUGUAGCAGUGAAAUGCGUAGAGAUGUGGAGGAACACCGAUGGCGAAGGCAGCCCCCUGGGUCAAGAUUGACGCUCAUGCACGAAAGCGUGGGGAGCAAACAGG